GCGGGGUAAUGGCCCACCAAGGCUACGACGGGUAGCUGGUCUGAGAGGAUGGCCAGCCACAUUGGGACUGAGAGACGGCCCAGACUCCUACGGGAGGCAGCAGUGGGGAAUCUUGCGCAAUGGCCGAAAGGCUGACGCAGCGACGCCGCGUGUGGGAUGACGCCCUUCGGGGUGUAAACCACUGUUGCCCGGGACGAACAUCUUCUUUCGAGUGGACUGACGGUACCGGGUGAGGAAGCACCGGCUAACUCCGUGCCAGCAGCCGCGGUAAUACGGAGGGUGCGAGCGUUGUCCGGAAUCACUGGGCGUAAAGGGCGCGUAGGCGGCGCGGAAAGUCAACGGUGAAAGCUUGGGGCUCAACCCCGAGUCGGCCGUCGAUACUUCCGUGCUCGAGCACUGUAGAGGCAGGUGGAAUUCCGGGUGUAGCGGUGGAAUGCGUAGAGAUCCGGAAGAACACCGGUGGCGAAGGCGGCCUGCUGGGCAGUAGCUGACGCUGAUGCGCGACAGCGUGGGGAGCAAACAGGAUUAGAUACCCUGGUAGUCCACGCCGUAAACGAUGGGUACUAGGUGUGGGGGAGCGACCCCCUGAGUGCCGGCGCUA
rnacentral:rRNA from 1 species